AGCGAACGCUGGCGGCAGGCUUAACACAUGCAAGUCGAGCGCCGUAGCAAUACGGAGCGGCAGACGGGUGAGUAACGCGUGGGAACGUGCCUUUUGGUUCGGAACAACACAGGGAAACUUGUGCUAAUACCGGAUAAGCCCUUACGGGGAAAGGAUUUAUCGCCAAAAGAAUCGGCCCGCGUCUGAUUAGCUAGUUGGUGGAGGUAACGGCUCACCAAGGCGACGAUCAGUAGCNGGUCUGAGAGGA
rnacentral:rRNA from 1 species